AAAUUGUCCCGAGCCAUCCUUGUAGCCCUCGAGCAUCUCCACCCAACUCCUAGAUCAAUUUUUUUUAAAAUAAUAUAAUAAAUAUAUUAAAUAUUAAAUAUCAUAAUCAUUUUGAUAUUUCUUUCAUUUUUACUGUGUAUUUAUAAUUUUAUUAUUAUUUAAGGAAAAUUUUAAAAUAUUAAUAAAAUUAUCCCUUUCCCUCCCAGAGGCUUGGAAGAGUCCAUUUCACUCCCAUAAAAAGAUAAAUAGUAUAUUUAAUAAUAAUAAAUUAAUAUACGUGAAUACUUAGGUUAUUAAAUUUUAAAAAAAAAUCACUUGAGGCCGUUGGAGAGGCGGGAGCUUGUCUGAAGAGUGCACCGCUUUUCAACAUUGAGCUCCUUAAAAACAGUAACUGGUCGAAUAACAUGGCGCAACCCCUCUACCAGAGCGAAUAUGUGUUUUAAGAUUAUGAGAUGCUACUGCUGGUGCAAGCAUGUUGAACUUGGAGGCAUCCAUAUCAUCCACUAACAAACUUCUUAUGCUGACGUGUCACUCCUUCCGCCAGUGGAGCUAGUACUGGUGGCUCGUUCAGGAAUGCUGAGUUACUUCUCAUCCACCUGAAACCAUCAAUCACCACAAGCAUAAAGGUUUUUCAGAUACAGGUUCACUUUGUGUCAAUAUUAUUUUAAAUUUAUGGGUUUUAUUUUUUGACUUUAAAUAAUACUAGUACCUAAUUUAUAAACUAUGUCCUUGCAGAGAAAUCAUAUGAAAAUAAAUUUUUUAGAAAAAUUAUAUACCAGCCGGACCAAUGACUGCUUGCUUAAAUAUAAAAUUAGCUACAAUGAUAUGUACUUAAACAUAAACUAUGUUUUUGCAAAGAAAUUAUAUGAGAAUGAUUUCUUCGAUAUGUUCCAACUAUACCAAUGACGGUUCAUUUAAAUAUGAAAGUUAGCUACAAUGAUAAGCACUUACCACUCCGUUUUGAGGAUUAGUUUCUCUAAGCUACCUUCUCUAUUAUCACUUGCUUUGGUGACAGAGAGUGGGACUGAACUUGAUAGUUGAUAAAUUUUCUCAACUCUAUCAGUUUCCUGUGAAGAGAGGGUAGAAAAGUAAGUACUUCAUUAUGAUUCAAAUUAAUAUCAAGUUGCAGUUUUAAAAUGAAAUUAAUUGAGUACUUCAGUUUAAAACAAUAUAUAUGCGUCAUGCAGCAUAAAAAUUAAGCUUGAAUCCAUGAAUCGGCUUGUUAAAUUUAAUAUAGAUAGCUUUGAACACAUAUAUAAUCACCUCAGAAACAAUUUCAUUAUGUUCCUCCUCUUUUUGCUUCUUGGACUUCCAGUAAGUAUCAAUUUCGUCCCUUGUCAGUGAAUGAUUCCUUUGGUAUUUUACUGUAUAUAGUUUCAUAAAGUUUCAUGGCAAAUCGAAUAUAUAUUGAUACCAAACGAACAGGAGAUUAAAUUUGCAAAUUACAUGUAUAUAUAUUAUCCAAAAAUAGUACCAAUAUGCUUACCUGCCGCGGGAUCUUGAACAUUAGAGCCCCAACCAGCCAUUAGAGAACCCAUGAUGUGAAUAUCCUUGUUUUGGCUUAACUCAAGUGUGUGCUAGUGUAAAAAUUAGACAUUAAUACUGUUUCCUAUUUAUAAGGUGAAAGGCUUAGUAAAUUUGGUCGGUGGGCCUAAGCUAUUGCCAAUCUUAUCUGAUGUAGAUAGUUGUGAAAGAUAGGCUUGAAUAUUUGAUGUCAUACAUAUGGCAUACUUCAUAUUUUAGCUGUAAUACUAACUGAUUAUUGUCAUUUUAUACUUCUUUUGUAUUGUCUGUGUAAGCCAUGCCAAGCCAAGACAAAUUCUCCUAACAACCUGCUGUGUUACAUGAAAUUAUGCAUGCUAUAAAGAUAAUUAUGGUCACAGGUAUCUACGUUCAAGUCUGAGUCUGCAAUGAGCAGCCCAUCUCAAAUUGUUAGGAGUAAAGAUUAUUUCUAGUUUAAGUAGAAGAAAGGAAAGCCUGUUUAGAGCAAGUCCAAUGGUGCUCAACAAAUUCACUUUCACUCUUUUAGUCAGAAUAUCAGCUAAUUGCAACUCCGAUGGUACUCGGUAUAUGGUUUAUUAUACUCACACAAGUUUCAAAGUUGCAGUCCUGUAGAUACUAGUAGGAUUGAUCAAUAAUUGAUGCAGGGAUAUAAACUAUAGUACUAAUAAAUCAUGUCUGGUGAAAGGGGGUGUUUGGAUGUGGAAGGAAUGAUUUACUAACCAAGAGGAAAUGAGGUCCCAUUCCAAACAACAAAAUUUUCAAUCCACACACAAGUAGUACACGGUUAUGAGUAUGAGGUUCCGAAUCCCAUUAACAAGGCUCGUUAGUUAUUAACCAAGUGCCCCCAAAGUCUUUAUUAGAACUUGCCAUUAGGUAAGGAUUAGCCAUAACCAGUGGCAUCUUACAAGUGAUGCUGAUGUCCUGCACAACUUAAUCAUCCUGCACAUUUUACAAGAUAUUCAUAUUAUACUUUCUAUUUGGUGGAUGUAGAUACAGAGUAAAUGUAGCCAGCUUUCUCAAAUCUUAGGAAAUAAUCAUGAAGUCCAUAUUAUUCAGGUUAAGAUACAUGCUAGAAUGAAGAUUGGCUUUAGUUCCAUAAAUAUAUACAUUGCAAGAGAGCAGUACAUGUAGAAGUAGAGUCCACAAGUUUAAUGCAGAAAACCCAUAGGACUCUUAUUUCCAUAAAUAACUCAUAGGACUCUUAUGCUGCUGUUUUGGUAUUUGAUUGUUUCUUCUUCUUUUUCAGAUAGGUAGUGUCAUAUUUGAUAAUUGAUGGUUGGCAUUUGUAGAUGCAAGAGCAGUAAUUUGUUUUUAACCUUGUGUAUAUAAUAUCUUCUAGAAAUACAGCUUAUAAAAUUACAAAGUACAUGUCAUUUUGUAAAUAUGAAACUUUAAAAUGUAUAAAGAUAGAUAAAUUAAUGAUAGAAAAAAGUCAAUUAAAUGAGUUUGUGUGUAUGUAUGAUAUAAUAUAUAUUUGAAGGAGGUGAAUAACAAUAUUAUUAUUAAAAAUUGCAAUGAAUGAAAAGGAAGAUUUUAUUAGGAGGUGAAGAGUGAGCAGUGAGUCACACUCAGAAGAAUAACGCGAUGUUAACAAGUGCCAGGUGGGUAGUGAGCCGCACUCGACGAACAAUGAUAUUAUGAUAUAAACAUCAUUUUGAUAAUAUGGAUUAAGCAGAAGGAGAAAACAAACAUACUGGUAAAUGACAGAGGAAAGAAUCAUCAAGAACGAGUCAUGAAAUCAUAAAAUCACUGUAUAUGGUAUGCUAUCCCUACAAGAAAAUUAUAAUUCUGCAGUUUGUCUUCAUUGUUUUGUAUUCUUUCAUUUUGCCGACUAGCACUCUUAAGUUAUCUAUCAUAUUCAUCAGCUAUGCUCUGGAUAGCCCAUUUAACUUUUUGAUAAUAUUCAAAAUAGUCAUGACUACAACACAGAUCUUUGAAACUAGUCCAGAUACUUGCUCGGAACAUUGUAUUCACCAUUACCACUUACCAGUUUUAUAUUUAAGAGAGAAGCAUCUUCCUUUUAAAUUUAUAGAAACUAUCUAAAUUCCAAGUUUGAAAUAUACGGGCUUUACGAUAAUUAUAGACACUUUCAUUUCCAAAAUGCCAAGUUUCGUGUAGAAGUGAUUACUUUUUCAGCUUGGCGACCGAAACUGAAAAAAUAACUUAAAAUCGGAUUUUGUUUUUCUUAACUGAAUUAGACCGAAUAUAUUCCAUGAACCGAGUCAGACUGAACUUUACUUCAUGAAAACCAAAAAUUAUUUAUAUACAUGUAUUAAAAUAUAUUGUUGGUAUAUAUCAAUAAUAACAUAAUUAAUUAAUAUAUAUAACAUAAUAUAAUAUCAAUUAGUUAUUUGAGUAUGAAUCGAUCUCUGAACCCGCUAACUAUAAAACAUCAAAAUUAUACUCCCUCCAUCCCAAAAUGUAUUAGCCAGUCCCAAAAUGUAUGAGCCAGUAUGACUAGCACGAUUUUUAAGAAAUGAAUGUUUGACUUAAUCUUAGGCACAUAAAAAGAGGCCGUGGGUAUUUAAAUGACGGUAGUUUAUGAAUAUCUGGUUGUAAUAAUCUUAAAUAGAUGCCAUAAAUUGAAGAUUUAUUCUUUUUGGGACAUCCAAAAAAGAAAAAUAGCUCACAUAAAAUGGGAAGAGGGAGUAUAAUUAGUCAAACCUUUUAACAGGACUCUGGAACUUCCGAAUAGGUUAAUAUUAAAUCAUAAAAAGGCGGGGCAGGUGUGUUGUUGCCUAUUAAUGGAGCCGUAGAGGUGAUCCAUUACAUUUUAAUCGUAAUUACCUAGAACUAUUAAGCAUGCAUGUUUUUUCAUAAUAUAACAUGAUAGCUCAUGCAUUUUUUAAUUUAGUGGAGGAAAAAUUCUUGAUUAAGUUUGUAGGCUGUGGAAACUAUAAUUGUCAAUUGAGUAGUGUCACAACAGAUCGACUCCAUCUCAAGUUUACUCAAAUCUAAUGUUAAAAUCUCAAACAAAUAUUACAGACCCUUCAAUAUUUCUCUCUUUGAGCCCGAAAAUAUCCGGCAAGUAUGCAUGAGUAUUUAAAUUUUGAAAAUUUAAAAUUUGUCCUCCUUUCCGCUUAAAAUCCUAAACUUGUCAAGAACAU